rnacentral:rRNA from 1 species
AGCUAGUUGGUGGGGUAAAGGCUCACCAAGGCGACGAUCUGUAGCGGGUCUGAGAGGAUGAUCCGCCACACUGGAACUGAGACACGGUCCAGACUCCUACGGGAGGCAGCAGUGGGGAAUUUUGGACAAUGGGGGCAACCCUGAUCCAGCCAUGCCGCGUGAGUGAAGAAGGCCUUCGGGUUGUAAAGCUCUUUCGGCCGGGAAGAAAUCGUAUCAGCUAAUACCUGGUGCGGAUGACGGUACCGGCAUAAGAAGCACCGGCUAACUACGUGCCAGCAGCCGCGGUAAUACGUAGGGUGCGAGCGUUAAUCGGAAUUACUGGGCGUAAAGCGUGCGCAGGCGGUUUUGUAAGACAGGCGUGAAAUCCCCGGGCUCAACCUGGGAACUGCGUUUGUGACUGCAAGGCUAGAGUACGGCAGAGGGGGGUGGAAUUCCACGUGUAGCAGUGAAAUGCGUAGAGAUGUGGAGGAACACCAAUGGCGAAGGCAGCCCCCUGGGUCGAUACUGACGCUCAUGCACGAAAGCGUGGGUAGCAAACAGGAUUAGAUACCCUGGUAGUCCACGCCCUAAACGAUGUCAACUAGGUGUUGGGAGGGUAAAACCUUUUAGUACCGGAGCUAACGCGUGAAGUUGACCGCCUGGGGAGUACGGCCGCAAGGUUAAAACUCAAAGGAAUUGACGGGGACCCGCACAAGCGGUGGAUGAUGUGGAUUAAUUCGAUGCAACGCGAAAAACCUUACCUACCCUUGACAUGUCAGGAACUUUCCAGAGAUGGAUUGGUGCUCGAAAGAGAACCUGAGCACAGGUGCUGCAUGGCUGUCGUCAGCUCGUGUCGUGAGAUGUUGGGUUAAGUCCCGCAACGAGCGCAACCCUUGUCGUUAAUUGCCAUCAUUUAGUUGGGCACUUUAACGAGACUGCCGGUGACAAACCGGAGGAAGGUGGGGAUGACGUCAAGUCCUCAUGGCCCUUAUGGGUAGGGCUUCACACGUCAUACAAUGGUCGGUACAAAGGGUCGCCAAGCCGCGAGGUGGAGCUAAUCCCAGAAAGCCGAUCGUAGUCCGGAUUGCAGGCUGCAACUCGCCUGCAUGAAGUCGGAAUCGCUAGUAAUCGUGGAUCAGCAUGUCACGGUGAAUACGUUCCCGGGUCUUGUACACACCGCCCGUCACACCAUGGGAGCGGGUUCCGCCAGAAGUAGGUAGCCUAACCGCAAGGAGGGCGCUUACCACGGCGGGGUUCGUGACUGGGGUGAAGUCGUAACAAGGUAGCCGUAGGGGAACCUGCGGCUG